GAAAUUUUAAGGAAGAGAGGUUUAUUUUGGCCCAGGUUCUGUCCAGGGCCUGUUGUCUCCAAAGAAGGAGCAGCAAGGCGCAGAGGUGUGGUGGAGGAAAGCUGCUUGCUGGGUGUGGGGUGGACAGAAAGCAGAGUCCAGGGAGCAGCCGGGAGGGAACUAAACCACUCCCCACCCCCGUGAGCCGCCUGUUGCCAUCAGCAGCCAGCUGUGGAAGCGCUCUCUUGCUGCUGAGACUCUGUUCUCCACCUUGUAAACCAAGCCCAACUCGGCCUCCUGAAGGCUACUACAGCAGAUGCAGCAACUCUGAAGGUCUGUUCAUGAUACACUAGAAGUUACGGACGCAAAUGCUUGAUUCCCUCUCCAGUUUUUAAAAGUACAUAUGGGGAAAGAACAUGAAGAUACUGAUUGUUCUGAAUCUCGCAUCAUCAGUUCACAAGACACCUGUGGUCUAUUGCCCAGCAAACCUCCAUCCCCGUUCUUCUCCAGAGAGCUCGUCACUCACAUCCACAGUGUUCUGAGAGAAGCCCUCUGCACAACCCAGCCCUACACCCUGGCCACAGUGUGCCCUGGUGGAGGGCAUCUGACUCAGGGGAACAGAGGCCUCAAUCUGCAGUCAAAGAAAAGAAAGAUGCUCAGAAAGGAACAGAGAAGAGAUGCAGACCAUAACAAAGACAACUGCUGUCUCAGCUGCUGCUGGCUACCAUCUCACCACCGUGAAAAACAGCAAGCCUGGGGACAAAAGCUGAGAUGAUGAGGAGGACAAAGCCAGGAGAAAGAGAAAAGGAGCCAGCACCCCCUCCACUGUCCCAUGGCCUUGCUGUAUGGGCUGGGUCUUUUCCUGUGUGAGAUAAGAUAGUAAAUUCCCCCAACUGUUUCAGUCACUUUGAGGGUCUCCCUUUUUUUCACAUGCAACCCAGACUCCUCAUCUUCAUCAUCAAACAUUUAGUUCAUAUCUCUUUUAUUAAGGUUUUUAAACUUUAAUUGAAAUGCUCAAUUUUAGAAUAUCUGACUCUUUUAAAAUUCUGUCUUUUUAAAAUAAUAUCCUACUCUUGCCUCAUGGAUUCUUUCAUUUCUGUCCUUGAAUAUUAAUGUGGGUUGUGAGCACAAUAAUAAUCUUUGGUUUGUUAUUGUUGUUGUUUUUGUUGUUUGUUUUCUGAGACAG
rnacentral:lncRNA from 1 species